CUCAAACUACUGCGCACACAAGUCGCCUAGGGACCGAAUUAACGUGCAGCCCUGAUGCAGCCGCCUGAGACCCGCCUUUGCAGCAGCCUGCCAGGAGGUGCGGAUGCUGCCGGCGCCUGGACCGCGCGUUGAGCAGUGCAGUUUAGCACCAUCCGUGAUGUUAACUGGAUGUAAAACGGAGUGAAUCAUCACAAACUGAACAACCUGUGAAACCAGCACCCAGAUGGAGAAACAGAAUUUGCUAAUUUUGAAUUCACAAAACAGAAUUUUUCUGGGCUCCGGGAAGCCCCUCCCCCAUCCCUUUCCACUCUCUAUCCCUCCUUCCAGAAGGGCAGCCACUCUCCUAACUCCCAACAGAAGAUAAUUU
rnacentral:lncRNA from 1 species